rnacentral:rRNA from 1 species
CUACGUGCCAGCAGCCGCGGUAAUACGUAGGUCCCGAGCGUUGUCCGGAUUUAUUGGGCGUAAAGCGAGCGCAGGCGGUUAGAUAAGUCUGAAGUUAAAGGCAGUGGCUCAACCAUUGUAGGCUUUGGAAACUGUUUAACUUGAGUGCAGAAGGGGAGAGUGGAAUUCCAUGUGUAGCGGUGAAAUGCGUAGAUAUAUGGAGGAACACCGGUGGCGAAAGCGGCUCUCUGGUCUGUAACUGACGCUGAGGCUCGAAAGCGUGGGGAGCGAACAGGAUUAGAUACCCUGGUAGUCCACGCCGUAAACGAUGAGUGCUAGGUGUUAGGUCCUUUCCGGGACUUAGUGCCGCAGCUAACGCAUUAAGCACUCCGCCUGGGGAGUACGACCGCAAGGUUGAAACUCAAAGGAAUUGACGGGGGCCCGCACAAGCGGUGGAGCAUGUGGUUUAAUUCGAAGCAACGCGAAGAACCUUACCAGGUCUUGACAUCCCGAUGC